rnacentral:rRNA from 1 species
AAUUAUUAUUAGAUUUUUAAAUAAUUAUUCACGAAAUAAAUUGAGCUAAAUUUUUGGUAUUUUUGGAAAUUAUAACUAUAUGUUACAAAAUAUAUUAACUAAAUAGAUUUAGGGGUGAAAGGCCUAUCAAAUUUUAUGAUAUCUUGAAGUAUAUAAAAUAUAUUAAGUAUUUCUAAUUCAACUAUUGAAUGUUUAGGUUCAAUAGUAACAUUAUAUUUUUUAAAAAAUUGUUCAAUUUUUUUAAGUAAAAUUGAGUUAGAGCAUAAAAUAUACAUCAAAUUUUUAUUAUAUGAAUAUAAAUAUACUACGGUUAUUAAUAAAUAUAAUCAUAUAUAAUGUAAUUAUUAGUAAUAGUUUAUUAAACUAUAUAAAGGAAUUCGGCAAGAAAAUUUUUCACCUGUUUAUCAAAAACAUAGCUUAUUGAAUAUCAUAAUAAGUAACCCCUGCUCAAUGGAAAUCUAAAUAGCCGCAGUACCUUGACUGUGCAAAGGUAGCAUAAUCAAUUGGCUUAUAAUUGAAGUCUGGAAUGAAUGGGUAAUCUGGAAAAUAACUGUCUUUAUUUGUAGUAUUUUGAAUUUACUUAUAAAGUGAAAAUACUUUAAUAUAAAUAUAAGACGAGAAGACCCUAGAAAUUUUUUGUUAAUAACUUUUGUUGGGGCGACAGGGUAACAUAUAAACUUACUUACAUUUAUAUAAAUCUUAUAAGGUACGUAACUAAAUUACUCUAGGGAUAACAGCAUAAUAUAUAAAAGUUUAUGACCUCGAUGUUGGACUAGGUAAUUAAAUAUUUAAAAGAUAUCUUAAUUUGCUCUGUUCGAGCAGUACCACCUACAU